rnacentral:rRNA from 1 species
UGCUGGCGGCGUGCUUAACACAUGCAAGUCGAACGGAAAGGCCCUGCUUUUGUGGGGUGCUCGAGUGGCGAACGGGUGAGUAACACGUGAGUAACCUGCCCUUGACUUUGGGAUAACUUCAGGAAACUGGGGCUAAUACCGGAUAGGAGCUCCUGCUGCAUGGUGGGGGUUGGAAAGUUUCGGCGGUUGGGGAUGGACUCGCGGCUUAUCAGCUUGUUGGUGGGGUAGUGGCUUACCAAGGCUUUGACGGGUAGCCGGCCUGAGAGGGUGACCGGCCACAUUGGGACUGAGAUACGGCCCAGACUCCUACGGGAGGCAGCAGUGGGGAAUAUUGCACAAUGGGCGGAAGCCUGAUGCAGCAACGCCGCGUGCGGGAUGACGGCCUUCGGGUUGUAAACCGCUUUCGCCUGUGACGAAGCGUGAGUGACGGUAAUGGGUAAAGAAGCACCGGCUAACUACGUGCCAGCAGCCGCGGUGAUACGUAGGGUGCGAGCGUUGUCCGGAUUUAUUGGGCGUAAAGGGCUCGUAGGUGGUUGAUCGCGUCGGAAGUGUAAUCUUGGGGCUUAACCCUGAGCGUGCUUUCGAUACGGGUUGACUUGAGGAAGGUAGGGGAGAAUGGAAUUCCUGGUGGAGCGGUGGAAUGCGCAGAUAUCAGGAGGGACACCAGUGGCGAAGGCGGUUCUCUGGGCCUUUCCUGACGCUGAGGAGCGAAAGCGUGGGGAGCGAACAGGCUUAGAUACCCUGGUAGUCCACGCUGUAAACGGUGGGUACUAGGUGUGGGGUCCAUUCCACGGGUUCCGUGCCGUAGCUAACGCUUUAAGUACCCCGCCUGGGGAGUACGGCCGCAAGGCUAAAACUCAAAGGAAUUGACGGGGCCCCGCACAAGCGGCGGAGCAUGCGGAUUAAUUCGAUGCAACGCGUAGAACCUUACCUGGGUUUGACAUGGAUCGGGAGUGCUCAGAGAUGGGUGUGCCUCUUUUGGGGUCGGUUCACAGGUGGUGCAUGGCUGUCGUCAGCUCGUGUCGUGAGAUGUUGGGUUAAGUCCCGCAACGAGCGCAACCCUUGUUCACUGUUGCCAGCACGUUAUGGUGGGGACUCAGUGGAGACCGCCGGGGUCAACUCGGAGGAAGGUGGGGAUGACGUCAAGUCAUCAUGCCCCUUAUGUCCAGGGCUUCACGCAUGCUACAAUGGCUGGUACAGAGAGUGGCGAGCCUGUGAGGGUGAGCGAAUCUCGGAAAGCCGGUCUCAGUUCGGAUUGGGGUCUGCAACUCGACCUCAUGAAGUCGGAGUCGCUAGUAAUCGCAGAUCAGCAACGCUGCGGUGAAUACGUUCCCGGGGCUUGUACACACCGCCCGUCAAGUCAUGAAAGUUGGUAACACCCGAAGCCGGUGGCCUAACCGUUGUGGGGGAGCCGUCGAAGGUGGGACUGGUGAUUAGGAC